AUGAAUAUAUCAAAGUUAAUAAAAUAUAAAAUCAUAUCAUAUUCCAUAUGUAAAGCCCAAAAUCUGCCCGGGCCAACACACUCAAAACAAUCCAAUUACAAAAAAUCAAGCCCAAACCUAACCCUAGUAGCCCAAAGCCCACUAACUUAAAAAAUUUUUCAGCAAAAAAACCCUAGCCUCAAGCUAGCCGCCGCUCCUACCCCCAGGCCUAUGCCACGCCUCCAGCACCGCACGCCUCCAUGCGCCUGCCACCGCUGUCAGUCUGACACCUGCAGAAGAAAGCAUCACACGCA
rnacentral:lncRNA from 1 species